AAGUCGUAACAAGGUUUCCGUAGGUGAACCUGCGGAAGGAUCAUUAGAGAUUGGCCUCUGGCCGUGUCUAUUCCACACACACCGUGAACUGUGUACGUCUUCGGGCUCUCGGGCCCCUGACGCAAAACACCAAAAACCUUAGCGUGAUGAAUGUAAAUUGUCGUAACAAAAACAUAACUUUCAACAACGGAUCUCUUGGCUCUC
rnacentral:misc_RNA from 1 species